UGGUGGCGAAUUUUCUGUAGAUUUUCUGCUACUUCAACUAAUGUUUUCUCAAUCUCAAAUAGGGCAUUAGGCGUUUCGUAAUUCUUAAUAACGUAAUCUAAGUCGACAAUAUCCCGACAUUAUUUAUGUGUUUCUACUAUACAUUUACUGCAGCAAGGACGUUCAUGUUUCUGGCAAAACAUUUCAAACUUUUUAUUAUGUUUGCUACAGUAUUGGCUGAUCUUCAGUACAUCGCUUCGUAAUUUUUGGUAAUCGGUAAAUGGUAUCACACUAUGGUUCUUCGAAGCCUUAGGCAAUCUAUGACAUUCUUUACAUAGUCCUUCAUCACACUCCGUACACCAAAUAACGCAUGGAUUGGUGCUGAGUCGGAGGUCACAUACAUCACAGCUGUGGAAGGAUGACGCCAUAAAGCACAAAACUACAAAAUAAUAAAUAAGUUAUGAUUAUAAAAAUGCUAGGUAGUUACAAAAUAACACAAGCAGCAUCAACUAGCCUCACUAUCAAACAUAACCCUUAACACAAUAAAAAUAUAGUUGUAGGAAUCUGGAAAAUAAGAUACUUUUCCGUAACUGUAACAAGAAUUUACUAUGGCCCUAUAUAUCAAAAGCUAUGUUACUCAUUUGACAAGAACAUAAUUCUCCGAACUAAAGAAUCCCGAUGCAUCAUUCCGUAUCAUAUAAGUAUUUAUACCCUUUUUUUUCUUUCUUAUAUAUGAUCAAUUCUAUUUGCAACUCACCUACGUGCACUUCACACAUACACAAAAAAUAAAUGCAUUUGGAAUAUAAGUAAGAAAAAAAGUAUUUCAAAACGUUAAAUAUUGAAUAACGACAUAUGCAUAUUGUACAACUAUCAACGGCUGUUUUUUUUUUUUGCGAGUACACGUUUAGUGUUUACAUAUUUAAACCAGAUCAAUUACCAUAGCUAUAGAUGGACUGAUCUAUGAUGACCGAACUGGUUAAACUACGCCCAGUCAAGUGAAAUAAAUCAAGUUAUACCACUGACUAGAACUAACCUUUAUUAGAAGUUAAGUUUGAUCGGCAUGAAGACACCACAAAAAAUGUCAUUUGAAUACCAAUUUUUCACCUUUUUCAUAUAUUUUUUCGAAAACAAACUAUAUACUUUUAUUUAAAAGUUUGCAAGUGUAGUCAUGUAUUUUUUUAGGAUUUUUUUACGAAACGAUCUAAAACAUAAAUGUUUUCAAUAAAUAUAUUGUAGAUCUUAUAUUGGUGUUAUCAUUUUGCUGUAUACUGCAUUUGUUUAUCUAUACACCUGGAUAAAAAGUAUUGCAACACUUCCUUUGAAAACAAUGUAAACUGACAUGAUUUUAGAAUGUGUAUAAUUUGGUUUUUACCAAAACAAUUUAAUCUGUUUAUGUUUUAAAUUUGAAUUCAAUUGUACUCCACAAACGGAUGAAAAGUAUUUGGUAAAACCCAAAUAGUUGUAGUUUCAGCGAUAAAUAGGCAAAUAUUAAAAAACGGUAAACAAUUCGUCACCAAGAUACCAUUUCUCAUAUGAUAAGUUGGCUGAUGGUGUCUAAGCAUUUCUGUAGAACUGGUUUGCUGCUCAUUUGUUUUUUUUUCUGUUUUCGAUUGCCAUCUAUAAACAUGUAUGUUAAAGCUAAGGUUAAAAAUUUGGAAUGAAUAAAAAAUCUUCGAAUGGUAAUCACUUCUUUAAUUUACCAUAUUUUUUCAAAUAAAUUACGGGUUGACCGGGAGUGCAAAAUAUUGUCAUCUGGAUUUUCCUUAUUAAGUAUUAUAUUAGGAAAGGAGAAAUCAGUUGGGGAUUUACUAUAAAUAUGCAGUCACGUCAGGAGUGAGACGGAAUGGUGAAUGUUAUUCCGAUGUCUCUUGAAGUAUAUUGUUAAAUUUUCCUUCUCAGCUAUUUUCUUUAUCAAGUUUAUGGUUUUUUUUAUCUGUUUAUACACCAUGUCCAUACAAUCAAACAGUUAAAAGUAAAAUCAUCAAACAGUAAGAUUCUUUUAUACGACGUGGAAUAUCAGAAUAAAGGAACAGCAUCAUCUAUCCACUACUCUUUUUUUGUGUAUAAAAGCAAAAACACAUUUAAUAAGAGAAAAACUCGAACCUUGAAAAAAAAUACUUAAAAGAAAAGAACAAGAGUCUAUAAAGAGCUUGUGUCACUCACCGUGGUCUAUGGGCAUAUCAAAAAUUAAGCACACUCUCCAACAUUGUAGAUGAGAAUAGACUUCAUGACAAAAAUCUCUGUUGGUCUUGUUUUGCUGAUCUUUCAGUUUGUUUAGUUUCUUUGACUUAUUAACAGAUCUUGUCUUUCUAAUAUUUUAGUGAUUUAAAGUGUUUAUUUUUUUAUUAUAAUUUAAAUCAUAUGAGGCAUAUCAGAAAUUAAAUGAUUCUCGCCAAGUAUCAUAGUUUUCAUGAUAAUAGGCAAAAAUUAAUAAAAAAUCGUACAAUCAUUUAUGAACCAUAAUUCCUAUCAGAAUUUGUCAAAUAGUUUUGGCAUAUAUGGACAAUUUAUAGAGCUCAUUAUUUUGAACAUUUUUAUUCUUUUUAGACAUUCUAUAUUUAUAACGGUUCAAAAAUAAUAGACAAAACUUGCAUUUUAGCCCUAUUUUGAGCCAUGUUGGUUGGUAGUUGUGGUCAUUUGACACAUUUCGUUGAACUAGAUAUAUUAAUAAUGAUAGUUAAAACAUAGUUUAUUGUCCAAACAUUGACAAUGGGAUCAAACGCAAGUUUUGCAACUUAGACCGUCUUUUCCAUUAUAUACAAUAAUAAAUAAGAGAACAAAAUAAAAUACAAUUUUAUAAAAUCAUAAACAAUAUCAAUUUGGAGACAUGAAAUAAACAAGAAUUUAAACGACAUGGCUCAUCGAUUUCUAAAAGUCGAAUUGACCGUUAAUUUAUUUAUGAUAAAUCUAGUAGGCUGUUUUAAUCUGGGAAAAAAUAUCCACUCUAAAGGUUAGUUUUUUGUUUUUGCAAUUCAAUUACAUUGUUGUUGUUAAUUGAUAGGAUAUAAUUCAUAAAAUCAGAUUGAUGAUCCAUUUUUCUGGAAGUAUUAUCAAACAAAGUCAACAAAAAGCAAUUACACUAUAAAUGUUAUAUAUUUAACCAUUUGUUUACAUUAAGUAAUUUGGUCUCUUAAUGAUGACUGUGAACAAAUUUGGUUAAACUUGUCUCAUGUAGUUGCAGAGGGGAAGAUUUUGUAAAAGAUUACCAAAAUUUAGUAAUAAUUGUUUAAAAUUGACAUUGAGGACACUAACUACUAAAGGGGUCAAUUGACCAUUUCAUUAAUGUUGACUUAUUUGUAGAUCCUAAUUUGCUGAACAAUUUUGCUGUUUACAGUUGAUCUCUUUCAAAUAUAAUAUUCAAGAUAUUAACCAAAAAUUGUAAAAUUUCCUUAAAAUUACCAAAUCUUGGGCAGCAACCCAUCAACAGAUUGUCUGAAACGUAUGAAUUAUUAUGUUUCAGAGAUGUAAGCAAAAAAUUGCAUUUUACCCCCAUGUUCUAUUUUUAGUCAUAGCGGUCAUCUUGGUUGAUAGGCAGGGUCAUCGGACCUAUUUUAUAAAACGAAUACCAUAUGGAUAUUGGAAGAGAUGUUUGUAAAAACUUACAUAAAUUUACGAAAAAUUGUUAAAAAUUGACUGUAAAGGGCAAUAACUCCUUAUGAGGUCAAUUGACUAUUUUGUUUAUGUUGACUUAUUUGUAGAUCUAACUUUGUGGAACAAUUUUGCAGUUUACUGUUUAAAUAUGUAUAUUAUAAUAUUGAAGAUUAUUACCAAAAACUGCAAAAUUUCGUUCAAACUACCAAUGUAGGGGCAGCAACCCAAUAUCCGUUAACUGAUGCAUUUUAAAAUUUACGGCAGAUAGAUCUUGAUUUGGUGGACAUUUUGAAUAUGUCAAAUUUGCUAUAAAUGCUUUAGUUUUAGAGCUUAAGGACAAAACUGCCUUUUACGCACAUGUUCUAUGUUUAGCCAUGGCGGCCCAUCUUGGUUGAUGGGCGGGGUAAUAUUUUAACUAGAUACUCUUAAGAGGAUUAAGGUAAAGUUUGGUUUCAUUUGGCCCAGUAUUUUCAGAGGAGAAGAUUUUUUGUAAAAGUUAAAGAACAACGACGGACGACAACGACGACUGACGACGGAUGACAAGUGAUGAGAAAAGCUUAAUAGUGCCUUUUGGCCAGGUGAACUAAAAAGGUCCUAUGCUCCCGCAAGACACAAAUAAGUAAAUCAUUUUAAAAUACAAAUUUCUAUACCCUUAUCAACCCUUGGUUCAAUUUACUACAAACAAAAAUACACUGCAUCAAAACGAAAAUUGAAAUAAUCAUGACUGUUAUUUUUUUUUUAAAUUUCAUGUAAUUUAGUAAUACUUUUAUAAGAAAGAGUCGAUAAAGUCAAAACUUAAGAAUAACAUGAAUAUCAAUCUUGAGAAUAUCAAUUACCUUUAAUUCAAAAUGUUCAUUCCAGUCUUGUAUGUGGUAACCAAAGAAGGUAAAUGCCCACGUGACUAUUCAGAAGACUAAUAAAUAGCGGGAAUUUUCGAAUAAUAUUAACAGUUAUACGGAAUGGUUUUAUUUAAUGAAUCGAAAUAUUCUGUUCAUUGCCAAUUGUCAUUGCUCUCUACUCUUCAAAAUGUUUCUAUUAUUUCAUUUGUUUUUUCUAGCAAAAGCUACAGAAAACCAAACAGAAUUUCGAGAAAAGGGUAAGGACCCACAGUAAAUGUGACCAUUAAAAGUUUUACAUGACAACGCUUUUCAAUUUCAUAAAGUAGAUAUGUGCUUCCCAGUGCAUUUAUCAACCACUUAACAUAUUGGUACCUUUGGUGUCGAUAAGGGCAGCAAUUGUGUUCCACUUGUCAUCUUGUUCCUAUGGAGCGCAUUAUUAGUAAUGAAAUAAAUCUAGAAUAUACUUUAAGUUUUUAUUUUAUAUGAAGUCCUCAUACUAAAUAAUUUAGGGGGCAAAGUCUGGUGAAAAUGUUAAUACAUCUAUCAUUUGAAAUUGAGAAAGGAAAGGGGGGAUUUGUCAAGGCGACAAAAACCCGACCAUAGAGCAGACAACAGCCGAAGGCCACCAAUGGGUCUUUAAUCUAGCGAGAAACUCCCGCACCCGGAGGUGUCCUUCAGCUGGCCCCUUAAAAAUAUGUAUACUAGUUCAUUGAUAAUGGACUUUGAAUAAAGACUGCGAAAGACCCAGAUAAGUAUGCAUGACACUUGAUACUGUAUUCUCACGCUCGCAUGUUCUAUAAUGAUUUUCUGCUGAAUACAGUAGUCCCCCUAUUUUCUACAGAUCUAAGGAUACCAUCUUGCUAUGGCUGACCGUUAUGGAAUAUACAUGUAUGUUUAUGCAUCAUAGAUGACCAACUGUGAAUUAACACAACGGAUAUGUCCCAAUUGUUGACGCCACUACCACGCCCGCCUGGCUUAUGUCAUAACGAAAUUAGUUGUACAUGUACUCACCGUUAGUAAAACAAAAGGUACAACAUUGUGAACAGACUCUGAUUACCAUUCAGGAGAACGGAAGAGGGGGAGGUAUUUUUCUAAAAAAUAUAUUAUGAUCCCCAAAUUGAUAAAAAAAAAUCUGGUCAAGCAGAUGACAAAAAAACAUUCUAAAUUGUAAAUUCCCCCUUAUUGUAGUACUGUAAUGUUAUGUUGUCAUUUUAAUGUUAUCUUUAACAUUGCCAUUAAGGCGGGAGGUUUGGCAUGCUACAAAACCAGGUUCAACCCACAAUUUUUUUUAAAUGUCCUGUACCAAGUCAGGAAUAUGGCUUAUGUUAUGUUAUAGUUCGUUUCUGUGUGUGUUUCAUUUUAACGUUGUGUUUAUGUUGAGUCGUUUGUUUCCUCUUAUAUUUGAGUGUGAAUUCACAUUACUAUAAGACGUGUCACGGUACUUUUCUACCCCAAAUUCGUGUAUUUAGUUUUGAUGUUAUAUUUGUUAUUCUCAUCGGAUUUUGUCUAAUGCUUAGUUCGUUUCUGUGUGUGUUACAUUUUAAUGUUCUCCUCUUCUAUUUAACGCGUUUACCUCAGUGUAAGUUUGUAACACGGAUUUUUUUUUUUUUUAUCGAUUUAUGAGUUUCGAACAGCGGUAUACUACUGUUACCUUUAUCUUCUAUUUAGAAGCUAUGGUCCUUAGUCGUUAUUUUGAUAAUUUUCUAUUAAAUCAUCCAGGAAGUAUGGUUCUUGAUGUAUUGAAAAGUGGCACGUAACUAGUUUCUGUGCAAUUUCAUAUGAACCGUUCAACAAAUGCUCUUAAAAUUUUGGCUCAUUUUUCUCUAUUCAUUGUAUAUAUAUCAUUCUUCUCUGUUCUUGCUGUUAACUGUAGUUAUUCCCUCUUGUAUACCAGUGUUACAGUACCAGGUGACAAUUUCAACAAUCAAUCACUCUUCGGUAAUGCGCGAGGCCAAACUAUUUUAAAUUCAAAGUGUUAAUUCACACAUUUAUGAGAGUAUACAAUUCCCUUAAAGUAAAGCCAAAUAAGAACAAGAAAUAAAAAAAAAAUGCAUAUGGAUUUGAAAGGCUUUACGAUUAAACUAGACAAGAAUGGUCAUUAAAAGAUAUUAUUUAAAUCAUGCUAAUUUUUAUACAAAUAGUAACUUACAGACAAUGCCUGACUUGUACAAUUACAAAAAUGGAUACCAUCACGGUAGGCGGUAACAACAGCGGUAAAUACAAGUGCCUAGAGCCGAUAAUUGUGUUCAACUGGUGAACUGUAAUUAGUUCCCAGGGCUAUCACCAUGCUGGGGGUUGAGCCCAGUAUCCAGAACACUUUGGUAUUGGCAUGAAAUGCGGAUAUUGUCUGAUUUACAUAAUUAUGCUGUAAUAGAAUAUUGUAAAGCAUUACAAAUAAAGAAAUAUUUCUCCCUCUUGCAAGCUCUGCGGCACAUCCCUUUUCCGGAUUUGGCUACACUUUAUAUCUUAUUUGAUUUUAUAAUCAGCUCUGCAACGUUUGUAUUAGGUUUUGUAUUUUUAUCAAAAUACGCAGGUGGUGCAGUAAAUUUGGUACUGUUAAUGUAGUAAACUUGUCUUGGUGCUGCCUUCAAAGCUAGACCCGAAGUUAUGACCAGGCUUUACUGCUGCUUUCAAAACAAAAUACGAGUAAUGGCUAUUAUAAACAUUUAUUGUUAAAUAUAUAUAAAUAGCUACCUCUUGGUGAUGCAUUGUAUUUUCUAAAUACGGAUCAUUGUGUUGUUUUUUCCAACAAAUAAUUGUUUUUAGCAUGUCAAGGUGAAGAAAUUCAAUGGAGGCCGGUUUUAUGACUUUGUUCUAUUCAGACUUGGGGUCAAUUACAUUGGAAUGUAAUUAAUUGAAUUACACAUUACAUUGCAAAAAUGAUCAAUUACACUAAUUACACAUUACACAGUUUUUGAAAUGCAAUUAAUUAAAUUACAAUUACUUUACUAAAGUAAUUAAUUAAAUUACACAUUACAUUUGAUCAUGAUAUUUUUUAACAAUAUUAUACAUGUAUAUAAUUAUGUGUAAAAUAUUCAUGUAAGCAUAGUUUAAGCGUUGCAUUUGAUAAUCAUUAGUUAUUUUAAUGUUUAGUAUCUCUGGUCUGAACACUUUGUCAGCAAUUCUUUAUAGUCUAUCGACAGGAGCUAAGUGGUAGAUAUUGCUAGAUCAGAACAUGGAAGAUCCAUAAUCAGAAGAUUAUCAUAUAGAUAGGAGAGGGAAUUUGUUCCUAUUAACUUGCCAACACAUCAAGGGGUAUUUUGACAUCUUAGAAAUGCAGUCACUCAAAUUAACCAUAUUAUAUAUGAAGAAACUAUAAAUGAAUUUAAACUAUUAAAAAGUGUGUUUGUCACAAUAUUGAAAAUAAUUUUUAGUACAAACUGUGUAUAAUGUCUAAAUACUAGCAAUAUUUUGCUAAUUAGAAAAAAAAUAUAUGUAAUAGUGGCAUUGUCCCAAGACUUUUAAUCUAAUUAACAGCUGUUAAUUUUUAUUUCUAUAAUCCAUUUGUGUAUACUAAUUUGACAAAAUGAUUGUGUGCAGUGAUUGUAAAUUCUAAAUGAACUGCCUAAGAAUUUUUUUUCACAGUGACACUUUUUUUUCUUUUCUGUUCAACAAGGUGAUUAAUUACUGAUUAAUCUAUUUAGUUUAAAGAUCUUUCUUAAAAACUGACACAUUACUAAUUAAUAUAUGAUUCUCACAUCUUUUUCAAAUUAUAAGACUUUUCAAAAACCAUUCUGCCGGUCAAAUAAAUAAUAUAAAAACUUCAGAAUAAAGUACAGACUUCAUAUAUAUUAAAACAGUAUGUGAUUUCAAUAUUUGAAAAAUAUAAUUUUAAAAUUUAUAUUAUUGAUCACAAAUCCUUACCUUUAACACCAUAAAAGUGCAUGUAAUUGAAAUGUAAUUCAAAAGUAAUUGAGCAUUACAUGCUUUUUUCAAUGUAAUUAAUUUAAUUACCAUUACAUGUAAUUAGAAAAAUGCUCAAUUACACAUUACAUUCAAUUACAUGGAAAAUUGUAAUGCAUUACACUUAAUUACCAUUACAUUUUCAAUUACCCCAUUCCUGGCUCUAUUUCUCAAAAAUGAGCACAUUUCAAUACUUAGUAUCUUAUUUCAAUAAAUAUAUACCAUGAAUGCAUUAUGGCGACUUUGCAAAAAAUGCAAAGUACUAGUUGAUGAGAAACAUUUCUUAAUAAAUUGUUCUCACAAUUUAAAUAUUAGAUUAGCAUAUUUUAAUUGCAUUAACAUAGAAAAUAAUUCAUUUGCUAAUCUCACUAACAAUGACAAAGUUAUAUAUAUACUUAACCCAUCAACACCAACACAUGUGAAAAACUAGGAUCCUUUAUAAAAAAACUCAAUGGAACCGAGAACAGGGGACCCUUUAACAUUACCUGAAUUUGUAUAUAUUGAGUUAAGGUAUCCGACCCAUAAUAAAGAUUUACGGAAAAUUUUCCGGGGUUUACCGAGGUGUAAAUUUUUUCAACACCUCGGUAUUUUCCGCCUAGUAAGCGAAAGAAUAGUUAUUAUUUUUAAAAUGACGAUUAAAAUAUCAGAAAGGCUUAAUUGAAGUAUAUUUUCAUUAACUAUAGAGUAAACGCUCAUUUUUUCUAUAAAUUGCCCAAUUUUGACAAUCCGGAAACAGAAGUUAUGGUAAACAAAUAUGGACGACUCGGUCGGCUGCCAAGACAGACGAAGGCGUUUUACCCAAACUAGUACGCCGAUUUAAGUCUCUUCGUCUUAUCGUGAUGCGGAAAUAAUGUGUGCAGUUUGGAUGCAACUGGUUGUCAAAUAUGUUGUACCGGCAUAGGAAGAUUAUUUGAUAGAAGGAAUGUAAACACAUCACGCACUUGUCCUUUUCAUCUGGCGAUCUGCUCUGGGAGACGAUUUGAAUGGAUCGUUCAUUUUUAUGUUUUAAAGUUCUGUAUUCAUAUGUUAAGUAUAUAUCUGGAUGGAAUUGAACCGACUUUCUUAUGGUUCCUUACAUGGAGAACCUAGUAAACCAAAGGCCAAGCUGAGUGAUGCCAAGCUUCAGUGUAAAACUUUGAGCAGGUGCCAGGUAAUUUGCAUUUACAAAUCCAAACAUUUUAAAACUUGAGUUGGACAACAUUGUCAUGUUAAUUAUGCCCCACGACACCAGCUUGUCUGGCAAAACAGCCGUUAGAUGUCAUAGUAAUCUAAACUAGAUACAUGUAUGAAAAAAAUGAUUAUUUAAAAAAUAAUCCAGGUCGUUCAGUUUAUAUGUUUGUAAUAAUUUAGGAACAAACACCCAAGUCAAGGCAAAAACCAAAUACAAACAUUGAUAACAAUUGCAAGAAAGCAUUAAACAAAAGUGCAGUAGAACUAAAUAGGAAAACAUGCAUGCUAUCAGACAAUUGAGGGAUUCAAGCCAAGGCUACCUUCAACAUGUUCAAAAGUUGAAUUGCCAUGGUACACAUACAAUGUACAUGUAUGAUCAUCAUGUAGCAUGAACCAUCAAUGGCUGUUAAACUUGUCACACUGACACAGACACUGCCACAACACUAAUUAAUUGAUACAUGUAUAUACUAGCAUGACUAUAGUAAUAUAUAUUUGAUAAUAUCCAUCUAAAAAUCAUCUGAUAAUUUAAUCAGUAUUUGAUUAAAAGUCAAAUGCUCAUGUACAUGAUGUAGGAUACAUAAAUAAAGAGCAAACAAACAAUUGACCGUUCAUACAUGUAUAUAUCUGGGAGUUUUUUCUGUUAAUUUCUAUGAAUGUAAGAAGACGUUGAUACUUUACAUGUACAAAAUAAUGUACGUGUACUUCCCAUUUUAAUCUGAUAUCCAUACUAUAAUUAAUUUUUUUUAUACAAUAACUAGCCGAAAAUUUUAAAUACAGACAAAUAUUCAAGGACUGAGCGAAUAAGACACAAGUUCACCAAGGUGCAUUUUCCCUGAGUAAAUUUUCAGCGUUGUAAGGUCACAAGUUGUAAAGCUUUUCAAUAUUUGAAUUCUUUGAUUAUUUAUUCUUUUUAUUACAUCAUGUACAAUAUUCUAUUCUAUGCUAUUCUGUACAUGUACAUUGGCAAAUAGCAUUUUUACAACAAAUAUUAUUCUAUUAUAAAAUGUAUGUGUUUUUUAAUAUAUGUCCAGUUUUCACUUUAUUAUAUUUGGUAAGAAAAUUUGUAUUAUAAACUAACAAACAUCAUUUGUACAUACAUACAUGUACAAAUGAUGUACAUGUACAUUGUACUGCUACAUAUAUACAUUCAUUAUCUAUGUGCUAUCAAAAUGAAGAACAUUUUUGUAACAGAAAUUUAUAUUUCAUUUUUUAGAGAAACCAUCCUUGUUAAAGAUGUGACAUUAAUCCCUCCAAACCUACAAAACACAAUUGAUAAGGUAAGUUGCAGAUUAUCUGAGAUAUUUUUGAUUAUCAUCCCAAGAAAUGUAGCAUACAUGUAUUACUCUUCUUUCAUUUAUAUGAUAAUGAAGAUACAUGUAUCUUGUAAUUUGUACAGUUGUAAAUGUAUUUCUGCCAUCUGUCACUGUUAAUUUAAAUGUACAUUGGGGGUCAGUAAAUAAUCAAAACAUGAUACAUGUAUAAAGACUAAUGGUGUGUAUUUUCAUUAAAUAAUACACAGGUUUUUUUUUGUGUUCAGAUUGAUAGCAAUUUUGUUGUCAAUUGUUGUAGUGUCAUUGGUAAAUGAAUGAAAUAAAUGGUUGUAUCUAAAAUUAUUUGAAACAUGUCUGAACUUAACUUACAAAAUGUUUAUAUAGAUACAAAUUACAUUGUAUUAUAACCAAUUUUUAUUUACAUUUGUAUAUCUAUAUAUACAUGUACAUGAUCAAUGUAUCAAUGAUGACAAGGAACUUUUUAAUUAAAUUUCAGAGAUGCUAAUUAACCUUGUUAAUGACUGUGGAGAACUUAUGCUACAUUUACCUAAUACACAGACAAACACAAAUGGGCAUACAUGUAGGUAAUAAAUAGAGCAGUUUUCUAAGAUACAUGUUCAUGUUUAUUGUUAUAUCAUGUAUAUCAUGCCUCGUCUUUAAAAAAUAUAGAUAUGAAACAUGAACACAUAUGUACAUGUUCCAUGUUUACAUGUAUUAGAGAGUUAUCUAACCUGUUUAAAAGCUGAUAACUACUUAGUACUAUCAAAAUUAUAGUCUAUUUGUUUCUCUAUUGUCCAUGAUUUAUCUUAUAAUGGAUAGAGUUUGAAAAUUAAAUCUAUAAAGUUGGAUAAAAUAUUCAUAAUGCUUGCAUUGGUACAAAGCCAUUUUUAAAAUAAGAAGAUGUGGUAUGAUUGCCAAUAUGAAAACUCUCCCCAAUACAUGUACUUCACAUGACAUAUAAAGGAACCACAGUUAUUGUCUUCAUUUGUUUUUGGUGUUGUUAUAUGUCACAAACUGUACAGUUUAUAUGGCAAUAAAGCUUUGAAUUGAAUUGAAUUGAAAUAAAUCAGUGACAAUACUUGGUUAAUAUCUUGUUAAGUUCGAUACACAUAUUUAUUUUCCAACACUAUAAAUAGAAAUAGACAUUAAAAUAUUUCAGUGUAAAAAUCUUUAACCUUGUCAUAAUUAAGUUUUGGUUCCUGCAAAAUGUUGAGAAUGUCUUGCAUUAUGUAACGUAUACUAAUUGGAGGUUUCAAUGAUAAAUAUGCUCAAUUAUUCAAAAUAAUAAUUUCAACAUAAGUGAUAACAUAACUGAAGGACGGUUUAGUUAGCUCCGUAAAUAUUUUUUUUAUUUAUCUCUUUUACACAUGCUAACCUCGACAGACCUUCUGUGCACAAAGAUUAUAAGCUACAUAGUCUAGGAUUCAAAAAAUAUUUAUAUUUCGAAACACUGUCAUUUUAAAACAGGAUUAUAUAUGUAGUUACAUUUAUAUACAUAUAUGAAGUUAUUCACGAGAUUAAUUGUCAAUGAAUAUUAAUCUUGAAGUUUUUAAUGUAAUGACAAAAACAGCCUAAGAUCAUUACAUGUCUUUUCCUGUAAAUUUAUUUAACAUCAUUUGUACCACAAUUUAUAUUAACGACAAACAUUUUUUCUAAAGCUGAAUAAUCGAUAGACAAUUUUAGACAUGAGGUACAUUUGUAAUUUGAACUCUUUAACUCCACUAUUCGGUGUUUAUUGUCUUGUUGAUCUGCACGUGUGUAUUUUCAAUGGAUCCUGCUUGAACGGUUGGUACCAUUAUCUGGGCUUGUUUUUUCUUCUUCGUGCUCAGAACGAUAUUGCAAAGUCUGGUUUCAAUUUUUACUUCCCCAAAACUAUUGAUAUCAGACAUGAUAUUCUGAAUAGUACCGUUUAUCUCAUAUACAAUGGAAUGCUUCUUCAACUUCCCAUCUUGGCAUAAUGAGUGCAGGAAUUUAUCUUUGACUGAGACGUCCUCUUCUAUCUGCUUCAUUGAAAGGAAGAGCUGAAGUUCCGUUGCGUGUUGUUUGAUAUUUAUAAUAUUUCUCUGACAAUCUGCUACUUCUUUUUCCUCCCUUUCCAACUGAUAGUACUUCGAGUUUUCUUUGUCUUCGACCGCAUACAGUUGUUUCAUAAAAUCGUCUUGUAGUUUGUCAAGAUGAUUGUUGAUAUUUAUUCUUGUAAUCUUUAUUACGUUUUCAAUUUCCUUUCUUUUUUCUUUCAAAAUAGCCAGAUUGCUUUUUUGAUGCUGGCGAAUUUUCUGUAGAUUUUCUGCUACUUCAAGUAAUGCUUCUUCUAUCUCACUGAGUGAAUUGGAUGAUUUUGCAUUUUGAAUGACGUCAUCUAAAUCGAUUAUAUCCCGGCAUUCUUUGUGAUUUUCUACUAUACAUUUACUGCAGCAUGGACGUUCGUGCUUCUGGCAGUACAUUUCAAAUUUUUUAUUGUGUUUACUACAGUGUUGAUUAAUCUUUAGUACAUCUGUCGGUAAUUUUUGGUAAUCGGUGAUAGCAAUCACACUAUGGUUCGUCGACGCCUUGGACAAACUAUGGUGUUCUUGACAUUCAUUACAUAGUCCUUCGUCGCAUUCUGUACACCAGAC
rnacentral:lncRNA from 1 species